CAACCAAAAAAUGAGCUUCACACCACUUGACUAGCAAAUUACCGUAGCAACUGCAGUACUACUCUACUCUUCAAAAACUUCUAUCAUUUGACACAAAUUGAAAAGCAAAGUGCAGCUGAAAUUCAUUAGUAAAAUACAAUUAAACCAUAAAAAGUUCAAAAUACUUAAUAUAAACCAUGAAUAUAUAACUUCACAUCUUGUUAAUUCACUUGAACUUCUAAACAC
rnacentral:lncRNA from 1 species